rnacentral:rRNA from 1 species
GUCUUUUUGAAUUAAAUUUAAAGUCUAACCUGCCCACUGAAAUUUUAAAUGGCCGCAGUAUUCUAACUGUGCAAAGGUAGCAUAAUCAUUAGUCUUUUAAUUGAAGGCUGGAAUGAAUGGUUGGACGAAAUAUUAACUGUUUCAUUUAAAUUUUUUAUAGAAUUUUAUUUUUUAGUCAAAAAGCUAAAAUUUAUUUAAAAGACGAGAAGACCCUAUAAAUCUUUAUAUUUUGUUGAUUUUAAUUAUAAAGAUUAUUUUUGUUAUAAUCAGUAAAAAUAUUUUAUUGGGGUGAUAUUAAAAUUUAAAAAACUUUUAAUUUUUAAAACCAUUAAUAUAUGAAUAAUUGAUCCAUUAAUAAUGAUUAAAAAUUUAAGUUACUUUAGGGAUAACAGCGUAAUUUUUUUGGAGAGUUCAUAUCGAUAAAAAAGAUUGCGACCUCGAUGUUGGAUUAAGAUAUAAUUUUGGGUGUAGCCGUUCAAAUUUUAAGUCUGUUCGACUUUUAAAUUCUU